rnacentral:sRNA from 1 species
GCCAGACGUGGUGGCACACACCUGUAAUCCCAGCAGCUUGGGAGGCUGAGACAGGAGGAUCUCAGGUUUCAAGCCAGCCUCAGCAAUGGCAAGGUGCUAAGCAACUCAGUGAGACCCUGUCUCUA